UUAGGAACUAGCAGUGAGUGCAGUCGCAAGUUUUGCUCGAGGCCAGAGCUCACGGUUCUGGAGACUUUAACGGUUUCUUGUCAGCAUUGGGGCUAAAAACUGAGCUACAACAAAGGCAUCCAUCGAGAAAGACAUGAGCCUUCCAGCCACACCAAGACUCAUAAUGCUUGGGAACAAUUUCUCUCUUCCACAAAGUGGAUGGUAAGCAUUGAGGGAAAGGUGGCCUAUGUUUUGGAUGAGCACCUGGGAUGUGCAGAUGCCUUUCUGUAUUCUUCAUCUUCUUCUACAUUUUCAACAUUGAAUACCAGGAGACUGCCUGUGCAACACUGGAACUCAUAAAACAGUUUUUCUUGAGGAUAAACCCAGAGGAGGGAACAAAAUGCACCGCCAAAACCGGAGUGAGUCGGAAGACAGGGGAAGUUGUGAAGAGAAAUACAACAG